GCACUGCACGACGGCUAGUCUCAGGCUCAACUGGAGCCUGCUGAGCUCUAACACUGAACCCAGGGCGUGCCACACCCACCCUGCUGCUGCUGCCGCUGCUCAAUCGGGUUGAGCCACUGAUCUGGAGACUGCCCUCCAGGACGGCCUGAGAGGACCCGCGUAGCCCAGCCAUUGAAGCCAUAGCUUGUGCCAUUUCUAGAGCCUAGAACUCACCCCAAGCUUGUGGUAUUGAUCAGGUUGUAAUGAUAGAUGAUGAGAGGUUAUGUGAAAUAUAUUUUUGAGUAAGGGGAGUGGAUGAUAUUUCUCUUUUAAGUUUAUUUCUGUGAUGUAGAUUGAUUAGGAGCUCCACCUUAUCUGCCAUUUCCUCCUUGGAUAACUUGGAUAUGCCACUAUCCACUGGCUGUUUGACACGUUUCCAUGCCAAGCCUCUUCUAUUCGACAAGCUGGAUUGGGUUCCCUGUCUGGCCUGAUGGUGCCUUGACACGUGGACUCUAGCAGAUAUUGAUUCGAACGACUCCUCUCCCGUGUGUUAUACUGUUAUUGUGCAAGGUAAAUUGGGGAUUCCUAAGGCAAAAAUGAUACUUUUGCUACUGCUUGUUGAAAUUAGAAGAUGGGUUCAUCACCACAUGCUCCUCAAGCUCAUUGCUAUAAUUCACUCACAGCAUCCCGUUAUUUUAGCUUGAUUUGUCUUCUGUGGGAGUGGGUUCACCCGGGUCAACACUCAAGCUCAAUCCAAAAAUAAAUCAUAUUUGUCCAAAGUUCAGUCCAAUUUGUUUUAUAACCCCAAUUGCUUAAUCCGAAUUCAAUCAAACAUUUUUUUUUCAUACUGGGGUUAGGUUCGAAUUAGAGAAGACGUAUGAGUUAGGCUCACAUCCGUUGGAUUGGGUGGUUUACAUGGGUUAACAAGAUGAGUCGAUUUGGCUUGCACCAAGGAAAAAAAACAAAAGAAAAAUGUAUAAUUUCAAUGCAAACAUGUUAAUACGAGAAUAUAAAAGAUAAAACAAUUCACACGCAAUAUUGUAUAUACAUCCAAAAAUGAAAGAGAAUAUUGUUAUGCAUUAUAGAAAAUAUAAUAAAAAUAAAAAUACAAUUAUUUAAUUUAAAAAUAUCCUAUAUUUUUUUAUUCAUUAUAUCUACACGUUGAAUCAACGAGUCAUCUCUUUGUUCCUUAGAGUGUCUCACUUUCUCUGCAAUCUCUAUCUACCAUAUGUAAUCUUUCAUAUGUUCAUCUCUAUCUAAUUAACAUUUACAAAUCAUAUAUAUAUGAAUAUUUUUAAUAACUUAAUUUCCUUAUAUCAUAAGGAAAUUUAAUAUUAUUAUGACUUAUGAAUAUAAAAAAUAUUUUUGUACAAUAUUUUUAUAAAAAAGGAAUAUAUACCAAUUCAAAAUUUGAGACACUUUCUAAUAGAUUGCUUCAUGGAAAAAAAAGUAUAAUAUAUUAACAAGUUGAAGGAAGUUUGCGACAUUAAAAGUUUGCAUUUCAUUGGGUGGAGAAAUAUAUAAUAUCUAUUAAUUUCAUCAAAAUCAUGACAUCCAUCGAUUUAUUGUUGAUAUAAGAUAAAUUAUUUAAAUGUUAAUUAAAUUCUUAAAUUUAAUUAAAAUUUAAAUGUCACUAGUUAAUUAAUAUAGUAUAAAAUUAUUAAUAUAAUAAAUGUUAACUAAUCCAACCCUCCUCAAUUCAGGUUACAUUUUUGUUAGCUAAAGGUUUUCUUUUCAAUUAAUUUUGAUGAUUACAAACCAAAGGAAAUUGAUUUAAUGUUGUUUUUUAGCUCUUUGAACUAAAUUUUUUUUUACCAUGUGAAUAGCUAAGGAAGAUCAAAUGGAGCCAUGGAAGUUUUCAAAAAGAUAAAGACCAUUUUAGAUUGAAUUUUUGUAAGAUUGUAGAGGCACUAGGUUAGAAUUGCAUUUCAUCGGUUUUAAAGCAUCAUAGCUCAUCUAAGUUAUUUCAAAUUAUUUUAUAUUUUUGGAACUUGGAUGAAAAAUCGUUUUAAAGAAAAUAGUUUCGGAUUAGAAUUUAAUUAUCAAAGAAAAUAGUCAUUGAAUUUAUGGUAUCAAUAACUUGAAACCAAUUGAUAUUCAAUGAGGAUAAGUUAAACCUUUUUAUGGUAUUUGACUACCAUCAUUUGGGUAACUCAUUCCCAAACUCAAGAAUGACAUCAUUGCAUUCGACGAGAUAGAAGUUCAUCAAGUUGAAUUUUCAACCAAAACUUUUAGGCUAUGUUUGGUUUUCAAAAAAUUUAAGGGAAAAUGCAAAGGAAAGAAAAUAGAGAAAAAAUGUAAAAUGAAAGAAAAACUGAAGGAAAAUAAAAAAAAUAGAGUUAAUAUGAUAAAUUAUUUUUAUUUGCUACUUCAAACUCAUUUUAUUUAUUUUAACUUAUCAAUAUAAAUAUUAAAUAAUUUUAAAAUGCAUAAGUUUCUAACUAAUUUUAGUUAUAUUUAAUUUUCUUUGGAAUAUUUUAUAAGACAAUUAAACAUGAGAAAAUUAUUUUCCUUAACAUUUUUUUUUCUUGGGAAACUUGUGUUUUGAUGGGGCAAUUUGGGAAAUAUAUGGUUUUCGGAACCCAACUUUAUGAGAUUUGAAAACCAACUUUUAAUGUGGAAAGUUACAUAUUUUUCAUGCACUCUGAGUCGGCUGCAUAUUUUGUGUCGAGAUUGCCCCCGGGUUUAGAGAUUUUCAAAAAUUAUCCUUUUUGUUUCUUUUUUUCCCUCCCCGCACCCACCAUCCACCUCUCCUUCCAUCCCUAGUGAAACUGGCCGACACUUUGUCGACAUCAUCACUGGCUGCCACUCACACCUCUCUCCGGUCGGCAAUCUCCCAUUCUCUCCCUUUCCUUUCCCUCUUUCUUUCUAUUGGUGAUGUCGAAAGGGAAGAGCACGUGCUAAUCAUGUGCAUUGCCUAUUGUUGUUGUUGUCGUCGUCGUCUAAAGAGCAACUCUCGCGGUAAAUUGACAGCANNNNNNNNNNNNNNNNNNNNNNNNNNNNNNNNNNNNNNNNNNNNNNNNNNNNNNNNNNNNNNNNNNNNNNNNNNNNNNNNNNNNNNNNNNNNNNNNNNNNGUCAUUGACAGCAGCGGCAACGGAAGCACCAGUGUAGGGAGAGACGUCGAGGAGGGGCUGGAGAGAGGCUGACGAGGGCGAGCUCACCUCUAGGAGAGGUUAACAAUGGAACUCAUUCGCGCCUUCUUCUCUCUGGCCCUAGUUCUCCACCAUCGCCACCGCUACCACUACCAACGACCCAUUGCUCUUGCUGCCUCUCAUAAACCGGGUGGCACUUUGUCAGCUUCAUCAUUGGUCGUCGCUUACAACUCUUUCCGGCUGGCAACCUCCCCUUCUCUCCCUUUCCCUUCCCUUUUCUCUCUUUUGGUGAUGUCGAAAGGGAAGGAACGAGAGAGAAAGAGGGAAGGGAAAGAGAGAAGGGGGGAGAUUGCUGACCGGAGAGAGGUGUGAGUGGUAGCCGGUGAUGAUGCUGGCAAAGUGUCUGCCGGUUUCAUUGGGGAGGGAGAGGUGGAUGGUGGGUACGUGAGGAAAAAAAAAGGAAUAAAAAUGAUAAUUUUGGAAAAUCACUAGACCCGGGGGCAAUAUUGGCACAAAAUAUGUAGUCGGCUCAAAGUGCAAGAAAAAUAUAUAACUUUCCACAUUAAAUUGGUUUUUAGAUUUCAUAAAGUUGGGUUCCAAAAACCAUAUAUUUCCCAAAUGACCCCAUCAAAACACAAGUUUCCCUUUUUUCUUUCCUUUGUACUUUUCAGGAACCAAACACAACCUUAGGCUAUGUUUGGUUCCCAAAAAAUUAAAGGGAAAAUGUAAGGGAAAAAAAAUAUAAAGGAAAAAUAGAAUGAAAGAAAAAGUGAAGAAAAAUAAAAAAUAGAUUAAAAGUAGAUAAAUUAUUAUUUUUAUUACUUCAAACUCAUUUUAUUUAUUUGAACUCAUCAAUAUAAGGAUUAAAUAAUUUAAAAAUACAUAAAAUUUUAAUUAGUUUUAAUUAUGUUUGAUUUUCUUUUAUAUUUUUUAUAGGACAACCAAACAUAAAAAAAUAAUUCUCCUUUACAUUUUUUUUCUUUCCUUAAUAUUUUUAAAGAACAAAACAUAAUUAGAAAAUAUAAAAUAUAAAACUCCAUCUUUUUUUUAAUCAUCCUAUUUGAUUGGCUUCCUUCAUUUUCUCCAACAAGAUUUUGACCCUAUUGAAAAGCUCUAGGACAUUUAGUCAAAAGUUGCAUAGUUCCAACAUUUGACUUAUGAAAGUAUUUUAUUAAUUGGGUUUGAAUUAAAUACACCAUCAUUUUUUAUUUAAAUUUUCUUCAAAUGCAUUUUUACCCUUUUUAUUUAUUAUUUUCAUUUAUCUCUUUUUUAUUCAAAAUAAGAGAGAUAUUCUCUUACUUAGACAUCUAGCAAGAUUUAUGAAAUUUAUCAAAGUUCCGUAAUAUCUAAAUUUUGAUAACACUUAUUCGAAUUCAUAAAGAAAAAAAGGUUUUAAUAAUCCGUUAAAUAAGACAAGUACUAUUAAUUUAUCAAACAUAUUGUCUAAAUUCAAGUUGGUAGACUUAUUUAAAGAAAAUAUCAAUUUACCAAUAAUAAUCUAAUAACUCCAUGUUUUCAAAAUUAGAAAAAAAAUGAAAACCAACAAGAAAGAUAUUUCUUAAAAAGGUUACUUUGAAAAAAAUUAACAUAUAUUAUUAUCACAUUUUAAUAAAUGUGUAUUAAAAAAACGCACAUUCAAGUAAAAUAUUUAUAAGAAGAUCAUAUUGUAUCUUGAGAAUGUUUUUUAAAAUAAUUUUCAAAACAAAUGUUCGGUGUUUUUUUUUAUAGUAAAAGCAUGUUUAAAGCCUUUGUUAAAUAUUUUAAUCUAUUUUUUAAAAAUUAAAUUAUUUUUUAAAAUAAAUCCAAAAAAUAAAUAAAAGCAAUUAAAAUAUUUUCUCCUAUAGUACUCCAUUUUCAGAAUAAUUUUUAAAAAAUAUUUAGGGAAUAUUAAUAACCAAAUUAAGGUUCUUGUACUCAAAAAUAUUUUUUUUUGAUAAUUUUUUGGUAUUAUUCUUACUUGUAUACAGCUGAGCCGGACCGUAGAAGCUACAAAUAUAUCAUGGACCGGUCUUUACAACCGGUUCGGUUCAGACCCCAAAAAAUGAAAACCGAGUACCGCGGCUACCGCCAGAUCGAACAUUCAAAACAAUUCAAAUUCCUCCUUCUCCCCCCUCUGUCUCUCCAUCUCGCUCUUCUGCAAGCCCUAACCCUAACCGCUGAUUCCAACUCCAAAUUCCAUUGUUUUUUGAGAAAAUCAAAACUAGAUCUGCAUCAUUAUCCUUCCAUCUGUUGAAUCAAUCUGAUAGAAGUCUGGUACAUUCAGAUGCAAUCCACGGCCGCGCAGCAAGAACUCUUGGAAAAUCUCACUCUCUGAUUUUUUUUCCCUUCACUUUCUCGGCUUCGGUGAAUGGCUUCCCGUAAUCAGAACAGGCCUCCUCGUAGUCCUGCUACGGUAAGCUUUAUUUUGUUAGGUUGUUUUUCCUAGGUUUGUUUGGUCACUGAGGGAACUGAGGACAGGGGAAAGAAAUGGAAGUUGUGAAUCUUGUUUUUGUUGUUGUUUUUGGGUUGUAGAAUAUGUAAAACUCUCAAUUGAAGUAAAAAGUUCUGUGAAUUUGCUCUCAUAAAAGGAAGAACUCAAGUCUGUUAAGUAAUUACAUUUGGCUCGGUUGGAGGAGCUUUGGUUUCUGACAAUGGGAAAUCUAAGCUUUAACAUCUUAAGUUUUCUUUUUCUACAUUUUGUAAGCAACCAAACAGAGCAGAAUUAGGGUUUCUUUGUUUGUAAUACAUUUGCUUCUUUCUGCCUUAUUUUCCUUACCCCUUAAUUUGAAUUUUUUUCCUUUUAGAAAAAGGACAAUAUGGAUGAAGUUCCCCUAGAUAAGCGUAGGAAGAUUGGAACAGGUAGAAUGUUGGGCACAAGAGGGGUGGGUCGUGGACGCCAAGCCUUUGCCGCCAUCAAUAAUCAGCAAGAUUUGGGGGCUCCAAGUGGAAUGACUAGUACUGAAGGUCCGGAGUGUGGAACCAUCGAGUUUACUAAAGAGGAAGUUGAGGCACUACUAAAUGAAAAGAUUAAGGCAAAGAAGUUUGACACGAAGGUUGUCUUGAUCUUUCAAGAUUGUAAUUUAAUUCUUCAUUUUGCUUGUUUCCAUGGUUUGCCUGUUAAUUUUGAGUACCUAUUUUUGCAGGGGAAAAUGGAACAAAUGGAUGGUCAUAUUAAGAAGCUAAAGCUUUGUAUCAAAUGGUUUCAACAACACGAAGAAGGCCAACUUGUCGAGCAGGGAAAACUACAGAACGCAUUGGAAUGUGCUGAGAAAAAAUGCGCUGAUACUGGUAACAGUGACACCUUCGUUUUAUUUAUAGUCUUGAAAAAAAAUCAUUUGCUUCAUUUCUAAGAAGGUCCUUUCUUGGUCUUAUUUUUUUAGAUUAGAAGAUAUAAAAAAAAUCAUUUGAAAACCCAACAAUUUCUCUUUAUACAGCAAAACCAAUUAGUUGAUUUGUUGGGAAUUGUGUUUCCUUCCAUUUCUACAAUGCCAUUUCCAGGACGUAAAUUAGAUAUAUUGUGCUCAUCCCACUCCUGUUAUAGAAAUAAACAUGGUAGUCUAACAUUCUCAAUGAUGCAUACUCUCAUUCAUCAUUAAGAAUGUUUUUUUUUUCUUGAUUUUGUUUCCACCAAAUCAAGCAGAACCCCAGGGGAGCUGUAAUGUAGAUUUAUUUGUAUGCUCUCAGAGUUGGAGAUGAAAAACAAGGAAGAGGAGUUGAAUGUAAUUAUCGAGGAACUGAGGAAAAGCAUUGCUUCUUUACAAGACAAACUUGUGAAGGAAGAAUCAGAAAAAUUGGUUAGUUUUUCAAUCCUUUGAUUGUUUACUAUGACAUUUUAUAUUUUUCCUUUUCUUUUUCCUUCAUGUAAAUGUUUAUGAUUGAACAAUCAGGAUGCAAUGGACUCUUAUACAAGAGAAAAAGAAGCCAGGGCUGCAGUUGAGAAAGUGAAAGCUUCUUUAUCAGAGGAGCUUGCUAAAACUCAGCAGGAGAAAUUAAAUGCUAAUCAAAAGGUAAUGUAACAACAGUCAUCUAGAUGAUUUGUGUUUUUAUCUCCGAAUUCAUAUAAUUAAUGUCUCCCUUUGUAUAUUUUGAAUUUUGCAGGUAACCUCACUAAAUGAUAUGUACAAGCGAUUGCAAGAGUACAACACAAGUUUACAGCAGUACAAUAGCAAGCUUCAAACAGAUCUUGCAACGGCAAAUGAGUCACAAAAAAGAGUGGAAAAGGAGAAACUGGCUAUAGUGGAGAACCUUAGCACCUUGCGAGGUCACUAUAACUCGCUGCAAGAGCAAUUAACAUCAUCUAGAGUAAGUGCAUUGUUCAUUUUAUGCUGAAUUUGGGCUGUUUAUCACUUGGGCUUCGUCUUAUUAUUAUUGAUCUUUUCAUUGUUGUUAUCACUAUAUUACUAUAUCUCAACAAACAAUGUUGAUUUGAAUGUAUUACACUUGUUCCCAUUCCUCCACUUGUUUUUAGUCGCUGUAAUGUAUAUUGGCAGAAUGCUUGAAAAGCUUGUUUGUGUGAGCUACUCAUUGGAAUAAUGUGAACCUAAUUUUUUUUCGAAUUUUAACAAAUGGCAUGCCUAACCUAGCUUGAAUAGCAUUGCUUAUUAACCUGGUGGUUGAUCUCUUAACCCUACUACCAUCUUGGUUCUUUUCUUACAAGGUCUCAAGCUUGUACAUUUAUCUUUCCUGUAGUAGUUAGCUUGUUGACCUUUUCUUACAUAGAAUGCCAGAAGUUGAAACAGCAGCAAACAUAAAUACUUGUGGUGGAUUUUAAUGCUUUAAUUUAGUUAUAUUUGAAUCAUAGUAAGAAAAAUAAAUGAAGAAAAUAAAGGAAAAAUUACAAAUUGGUAAAUGCAGUUGAAAAUAAAUUCAAACGAUAAGGACAGGUGCUCCUGGAGAUUUGGAGAUUUACACUAUGCAGUUUGGAUGAAUAAUGUAGUGAUCAUUUGUCUGAACUUAUCUAUUCCAUCUCCCAUUACAGUCCCAUUUCCUCAUAACUAAAAACUACAAAUCUCUGUCAAAUGGGAUCAUUUUUAAAAAUAAAUUUAACUAUACACUAAAAGAAGAUAUUUAGGAGGGAGAAAGAAAGUCAAGGACCAAAAUUGUUUUCCUCUAGAAGGAAACUGUUUAUUAUUAGUUUGCAUAUAUCAUUUCAACGGCUUUGUUUAAAUUUGUAGGGUUUUUUGUUUGUUUGUUUUGUUUUGGCCUAAAUUGUUUUCCUUUAUAAGGAAACUCUUUAUUAUUAUUUUGCAUACACUAUUAUGUUGGUUGUGUUUAAAUUUGUGGGUUUUUUGUUUGUUUCUUUUGUUUUUUAGGCUUCUCAGGACGAGGCUGUAAAGCAAAGGGAAUUGCUAGGAAAUGAAGUCCAGUGUCUUAGAGGAGAACUGCAACAAGUAAGAGAUGACCGUGAUCGACAAGUGAUGCAGGUGCAUGCCUUGGCUACAGAAGUGGAAAAGUACAAGGAGAGUACUGGGAAAUCAUUCGUGGAGUUGGAUAAUUUGACAGUAAAAUCCAAUGCGUUGGAGGUCUGUUGGUCCUAUUGUCAUGCAUUGUAGGUGUCACACUGGCAUGCCUUCUGAAGAUCUUGGACUUUGUUUUUCAGGAAACAUGUUCUUCUCAACGGGAGCAGUUACGCAUCUUACAGCAUCAACUAGCAGCAGCAAAUGAGAAAUUGAAGGUAAUGCUCUUAAGGUUUUUGGAAUUGUUUCAAAUGUUUGUUGUGUUUGUAUAUUUGAUGUAGUCCAUCGCAUGUAGCAUAUACUGAUGGCUUUGUCUUUGUGAUAUUGCUGAUCCAUGAGCAUGUGAUUUGCUUUCUUUAGAUGGUUGAUUUGUCUGCUUCAGAAACAAGGACAGAAUUUGAGCUGCAAAAGGGUGUUAUAAGCGAAUUACAAGAUCGUUUGGCAGAUGCAGAGCUUCGAAUUAUUGAGGGAGAGAAUUUACGAAAGAAGCUUCACAACACUAUUUUGGUGAGGUUCUUGCACUUUACUGCUUGGCAUAAAGAUUGACUGUUACUAAACAUUUGUUUCUCUGCAGGAACUAAAAGGGAACAUUCGUGUAUUCUGCAGAGUGCGACCUUUGUUACCCGAAGAUGGUGCUGGUUCUGAAAGCUCAGUAGUUUCUUUUCCUACAUCGACAGAAGCACUUGGCCGGGGCAUUGACUUAACACAGAAUGGUAAAGAAUCAAUAGUUACAGUCUGUUCAAAGCUAAAUAGAUAGUUGCUUUACAUAUUUCAAUUGUCAUGCAGUGGUCCCAAAUAAGACUUUUUGUGGACAAUGUUUUAGCGUCUCUGAAAUUUAACGUGUGAAAUCUUUUAUUCUAUUUCCUUUAUCAGCUGAAAAAAAAAAUUCAGAAAAUCAUUUUUGUUUUUGUGCCAGCAUAUUUGUUACUGAGUAGAAAUAGAAAAUUUCUUACAAUAUUUUAAUUGUCAACAGGGCAGAUAUAUCCUUUCACAUUUGACAAAGUUUUUGCUCAUGGGGCCUCCCAGCAGGAUGUAUUUGUAGAAAUAUCACAGUUAGUACAGAGUGCCCUUGAUGGCUAUAAGGUGAUUCAUCUGUGCUUUUGUCCUUUGAAACUGUAACAGAAUUAUGAGCAUAAAAAUGUACUGAUUUAGGUGGGUAAGGUAGCCUGGAAUUAAGAUUUAACUUGAAUUUGAAGGUUCAAGCUGAUUAUUUUUUCAGCUACAGUUCGGACCCAAAUUUUAAAACGCAACUUGAUUGCAAUAGAAAGGCUGUUUGGAGUCGUUUGUUCUUGGAUUAUGCUUAUCUGAAAUUGCUAUCUGAUUUGGCUGUUUUGACCUUCUGCUACCAUUUGAAUUCAUGUAGCCUUAGACGCCUUUCUCUUAUUGUUUACUAGAAUAGAUUUCUGCAGAUGCAAGGUUGAAAUGUAUUUUAUUCUAUUGCUUUAUGAAAAUGCAUGGAAAUGGAAUCACUAUUUGCUUUUUUAAAAAUUUAACUUAUUUGUUUGCAUUGUUGCAUUGUCUAUAAACCUUCUGAUGGAUUUGUUUUUCUUGUGAAACCAUACAAAAUAUUUUUCUUUCCAUAGAGAACUUUAUUUUAUUGUAUGUGCAUUUAGAAGAAUUUAGCUUAUUGGUUGCAAUUGUCUGAUUACCUCUUAAUGUUGUAAAAUGCAAUGAAAUAUUUUGUAUAAUUCUCAUUUGAUUCUUGUUUUGUUCUCUUUGUAGGUUUGCAUAUUUGCAUAUGGUCAGACAGGUUCUGGUAAAACCUAUACAAUGAUGGGAAGGCCAGAAGCUUCUGAUGAGAAAGGCCUGAUACCUCGGUCAUUAGAACAGAUAUUUCAAACCAGUCAGUCUCUUUUGGCCCAGGGCUGGAGAUAUAAAAUGCAGGUAAAUAGUUUUUGUCGGUUUUCAUCCACUUUCUUGAGAUUUUCUGUUCUGAGUUCUUACCAUUUCUUGUGAAAUUUGUAGGCCUCGAUGCUGGAAAUUUAUAAUGAAACCAUCCGUGAUUUGUUAUCAACGAGUAGAUCAGGUGGUCUAGAUGUGACACGUACAGAAAAUGGUGUUGGUGGAAAGCAGUAUGCAAUUAAACAUGAUGUGAAUGGAAACACCCAUGUCUCUGAUCUCACCAUUGUUGACGUCAGCAGUAUGAAAGAGAUUUCAUCUCUUCUACAGCAGGCUGCUCAUUGCAGGUAUUUUGAAGUCGUCCAUUAAUAUUUGUUGUCAAUUUAAGAAUGUUGAUACACAAAAUGGGUUCUAGGUUAUGUUUCUUAUAUUGCUAUUGAUUUUGUGUUAAGUUCUGCAUUGCUUUUCCUGAGAUUUUUUUUUGUUAAUAUAUAUAAAUAAAUGUUAGAUAUGAUAAAUCUUAGAUAACACAUAAAAUGUUAAAUAUAUGACUUUUAAUCUCGUUAAGAAAUUUCAUUUAUUUGGAUCUGUAAAUUCUAAGAUAAAAGGGUAUUGCCACCUUUUUCUCUUAGGUCUGUUGGUAGAACACAAAUGAAUGAGCAGUCAUCCAGAAGUCACUUGGUAUUUACAUUGCGAAUAUCUGGGGUAAAUGAGGUACAUUCCCUUGCAAUACUACAUUUUUGUACUCUUCUGCUACAUACAUGCGUGCACAAACAAACACUCAUCCACAUCUGUUGACCACUUUGUUGAUCUGCUAGAGUACCGAACAACAAGUACAAGGUGUCUUAAACCUCAUUGAUCUUGCGGGAAGUGAGCGACUCUCCAAGAGUAUGUCAACUGGAGACCGGUUGAAGGAAACUCAGGUAUCUCUUUUAGAGAUCCUUUUUACUAUCCACCCUUUUUGAUUUGUUUUUAAUAUUCAUUCUAAAUAAUUAUUCUGACCUUCCCUUAAAAAAUCAGGCUAUUAAUAAAAGCUUAUCUUCACUAAGCGAUGUCAUACUGGCCCUAGCAAGGAAAGAUGAUCAUGUUCCAUAUAGGAACUCAAAGCUAACCUAUCUUCUCCAGGUAAAUGUCUUCAAACUUCCUAACCUUGUGGCUGCAUGUUCUUUGGAACAAUGGUUUGUCGAUCUAGUAAAAGCUGAGCUGGACCUAUCUGUUGGAAAAAGAAUUAGGUUGAUUGGCCUUUCUGGUUGAAUUAGCAUAAUCAUACUCAUUAAAAUUAUGAACAAGUUUGACUGUUGGCAGUUCAAAUAAUCCUGAAAAAUCGAUUCCCCAAUAUCUAUCUUCCAUGAUUAAUAAAGGUUUAGAUAUAAUCUUUUUGGCAGAUUAGUUUUGGAUUGAAGGGUUGACAAUUUGAUGCAAACUCCCAAAGCUAUACUGUUUGCCUGCUUUAGUGAUUGUAAAUUAUGUUAGAACAAUGCAUAGAAAGAGAUGCUUGUUUUAUUGAUGCUUUGUGGAAAAUAAACAUGCCAAGCAUGUACUUCCAGACUCUUGUUAUGAUUGUUUCCUCCAUAUAUCCCUCAUAUGAUUGAGAAAUGUUGGAUAUGGGACAUUCCAUGCUAGUCAUCACCAGUUUUUAUUCAUGUUCUUAUAUUGAUGAGAUUGUUGAGAUGUAUUUGAUUCGGAACUUGGACUGGUCUCCAUAAGUUAAGCAAGUUUCUGUUCUAUUAAAUGGCAUAGAAGUUUGUCAUAUCUUAGCUGGUUUUGCAUCAUUAAGAAUUUCUGAAAUCUCUGUUAUUUGUAUGAUCAGCCUUGCUUAGGUGGGGAUUCCAAGACCCUGAUGUUUGUCAACAUCUCUCCCGACCCAUCUUCAGUUGGUGAGUCCCUAUGCUCUCUUAGGUUUGCUGCCAAGGUCAAUGCCUGUGAAAUUGGGAUUCCUCGGCGCCAGACCACCAUGCGGAUUUCAGAUUCUCGCUUGAGCUAUGGCUAAAUAUUUUUUUUUUGUGUAACUGUUAUUUGCAAUGAAGGUUCAUGUUUGGUUGUAACGUGUAUAAUCAAGAAAUGGAUUUGGCGUGUAUCAGUGAUUAUAGAGUGAGCUUACUAAUUUGUAUUUUAGAGUGGUGCCGCGGUGAGGCCAUUUCCUCUUUUCUUUGGUGACUGAUAGAAAGGCAGAAAUCAACUUAUUGGCAUAUUAACAUGAUAAUUGAAUCUUACAUGAAAAACAAAAGCUAUCUGCCAUUUGAUAAAUGUAGGCAAUGAAAAAGUAUGGAUGCCUUAAUUGCAUCCUCCUUAUCCUUAUCCUUAUGCACCAGGUUCGGUUUCAACAAAUCAAACCCUCUAUUUAAAAAGCAUAUAUCCGGGUAAAAGUUGUAACGGAAAUUGAAACAAAACAAUAUAUUAAUUUUCAAUUGAAUUUUUUAAUAUUCCAUUUUAUUUAUAUUUCUAUUUCUAUUUCUAUUUCUAUUUUUCCAACGUAUGUUCUGGAUGGUCAUCCGUUAACUUGCUGAAAUAGUUAGCUAAUAAGAAAUAGCCUUAAUUUUGAUCCGUGUCCAACUUGUGUUGGGGAUUGUCAUCCGUUACUUGCUGAAAUAGUUAGCUAAUAAGAAAUAGCCUCAAUUAUGAGCCGUGGCUGGGUCCACUUGUUGUCAUGACGCAAGAUAGAUGUUCUAGAAUCCACCCUGGUUUAAUAUCUCUAACUAUCAAACGAAGAGGAAGAGGAAGAGGAAGAGGAAAAAGAUGGAAAAUCAGGAGCCGGAGGAAAACAAGUCUAGAGUUAUUAAGGUGGUGUCUGAGGAGUCAUGGGAUUUCUAUAUCAGCCAAGCCACCACCCAAGGCUGCCCUGUCAGUAUUCUUUCCCCAUCAUCAUCAUCAACUUCACAAUUUUCAUUUUCUCUAUUCCAUAUUGUAUCUGUCUCUGCUGUUUUGAUUUUAAUCAAGUGAUUUCAGUGGAACCGUCUCACUUCUCACCCAUAAAUGACUUUUGUUUGAUGGAAUCAUCCCAUGUAACCCUGACAUGCCAGAUAGAUCAAUCGAUCCCAACUUCAUAUUCAUCCAAUCUUGAUGAUGAUUUGAAAGUGUUUUUAAAUUGGGUUGUGGGGUUGUGGAAUUGCAGGUUGUUGUGCACUUCACUGCUGCAUGGUGCAUCCCCUCUGUGGCCAUGAACCAGUUUUUUGAAGAACUGGCUUCAAAUUACCCAGAUGCUCUGUUCCUCACUGUUGAUGUGGAUGAAGUUAAGGUGAGCCCCCCUCUGUUUUAUGGAAAUGUCACUGGAAACCUUUGUUGUGGGCUUGAUCUUCUUAGAAAGUUCCUUGCUUGAACGCAACCAAAGGGGGGAAGAGGGUGUGGAGAUGGGUUUAUGCUUAUGCCCUUGUGAAUUAACAACAAAUUUGAUGCCAGUUUGUUUAUGGUGAUGUGAACAUAAUUUUUUUUGUUCUCUCUGGUUUGGUUUAGGCGGUUGCGGUCAAAAUGGAAGUAAAGGCCAUGCCCACAUUUCUGCUGAUGAAGGAAGGAGCUCAGGUGGACAGGCUGGUGGGUGCCAAUCCAGAUGAGAUAAGGAAAAGGAUAGAUGCUUUGGUGCAGUCCUUUCGCGUGUAUGUAGCCUAGUGGGUUUAUGCAUACGCACAUAUAGAUAUAUAAUAGUGUAAAUAUGCGGUUGUGCUAUUCCAGACGAGGAUAUGGAUGACUAUGAGUGAAUGAUUUAAAUCCUAAAUUCCUAAUCAUCACUUUCUUAUCUUCUCCUUUUGCACAUCAGGGUUUCUGAAUUCACCCUAAUCAUGUGUAAAGAGUGGCAUUUCUCAUCUCUGUGGUUACCACUGACUCCAUUUGAAUGGCCUUGCUCUAGCCUCUACCCCAGGGCCAGAAAAUGAAAUCAGACCUCUUGUGUUUGUUGGGUUAUGUGCCCUUAUUCAGGACCAUUACUUUGGGCAGGUGGAUGUUAGGUACAGCUGGUGUGCCCAAUGUUGCUUCCAAACAGAAAAACUCAAGAAAUCCAUUCCUUGAUGAGCGUUAAUUGAACUAUAACCAUGAUUCUAAUUGAAUGGGAAAAAUAAAAUUUUUAAAAAAAGAAAAAGUGUAUUUAUUUAAUUUUUUUAUUUGAGAUAAAAGAAAAUAUGAAAUGGCAUGACUGUGAUUGCAAGUGGGAAACAAAAACGACGUCGUAUUGACUGUGAUUGGUAGUGGAUGGCUGAGCGGGCUGAGCCCGGGUCUGCGAAUUUGACUAAUUCUGCCACUUUUGUAGAAAGUGGGAAACCAAAACGACGUCGUAUCGACUGUGCCUGGAAAUGGAUGGCUGAGCCCCGGUCCACGAAAUUGAAUGAAUGUGAACGGCGGUGUGUGAUGGUGAAUGGUGCCACCGAUCCCUAAAACCAGAAAAAAAAAAAAGAAAAAAACCCAAAUUCAUUUCUCUUCUCACCACCGACUUUAAUUUCGCCGGAGAAAACUCCGGUAUGGUAUCUCCAGAAGAAGAUCCAAAUUGGAUCUUCGACUACGGCUUGAUCGACGACGUUCCUGUCCCCUCCCUCCAAGCAACCUUUAAUUGGCCUUCUCAUGAUUUCACUGCUUCCGCCGCCCUCGGGUUCGUUCUUCUUUGUCUUUAGUGAUGUAAUUGAGGAUUUGAUUUAUGAUGUUUGUCUUCCUCCUUUUUGUUGUGCUUUGAAUUAUUUGAUUUAUUGCAAUAUUUUAUUUGUUGAAAUGACUGUAAAUCUGCGUGCCUUGAUCAAGUGCAAUGCCUCAAAAUUGUGCAUGACUGUGGAGAGUAUAAUGUGGUCAUCUUCGAGUUUGUUCUUCAUAAAAUGACUAAUUGUGGAGCACAGCUAAUGGAGACAUGAUAAAUAAUUUUAUACUUUCAUUCUGCCAAUUGUUGAGCCCAGUUGUGACAUUUAGCUAAUUUGUGUCGGUUGGGUAUUACUUUUGUCGGCAUCUUGGCUGGAUUUGGCGUGAGAAGUUGAAAAUGGUACCAACUGUAGUCAGUUGUGAGGUAUACUUUGGGUUGGGGAUUGUUUGAAGUAGAAUGAAGGAAACAAUUUCCUGAAAAUUCAUAAUUAGAGUUGAAAAAAUGUGUGAAAUACGGUGACUGCUUUAUUUUCAGAUAAAAUAACCACUCUUUACCAGGGACAAUGGAAUGAGUUAUGCUUUUGCCUUUUCAGAUUAUACGCCCGGGUUUUUGUGGAAAGUAAUAGAAAGCCCAAGACUUUUUCCAAUUUGAGAGUGCUGUCAUUUUUUCUAAUCAAUAAUUUUUAGGUGUUUGAAGAGCAAGGAUAAGUGAUGAUCUGAGGUUUUAGGAUUGGCAAAUUGCUUAUUUCCGCCAAGCUUUAUGGAAUUGCUUUGAUUUGGAUCUUGUAAGUCUUGCGUAAAUGCUUGUGUUGCUGAAAUAACUAUUUUCAGUUGCCCUUUAUAAGAACAAUUUCAGAUUGUUGAAGCCUCCAUGAAAACUAGUUCGGUUAUUAGUUCUUGUACAUUCUCCAGAGAGAGUUUUCUUUUUGGAACUCUAUGAAAAUACAAAUGAUACACUUCCAAUCCACUGCUUAUCAGUGACUCUGGCUGUUCCAGUGUAUAUAAGCUAAAUUGUUCUGAAGUUUCACUAGUUUGGAUCACUCUUAUUUAAGUGUUGCUGGGCAUAGGCUCGGUUUGGCUCUACUCCUUGCACUUUUAUUUCACUUGGGUUCAGCAUUUAUCCUUUUGGUUCGGUUCAGAGUUACCUCAAGGAACCUUGUUUUACAUGGAUUUUGACAUCAGACGUCCCUGACUGGUUAUAUAGCUUGAAAAAGACAGGAUGCUGGUAUUUGCUGCAAGGAUUCAUGCUUGAAAUACUUUGUUUGCCUUCAGAGUAAGCAGCUUACAACCAUUUAAAAAACAAGGAACUCUUAUAGUUCCUCUAAUAUCAUUUAACACCAUCUGCAGCCCCCAAAGUGGAUGAAAGUUUUCUGCACGAUGCAAAAUGUUGUUAGUUACUGUUGGUACUAAAUCUGGCAUGCUUUUCUGGAUCCCACCUUAAAAAAUAACGUUUUUAAUAUUCAUAUGCCUAAUAUGUUUUCUCAUGACAAAAAAGGAAUGUGUCAUAUACUUCCUUCACGUUUUUGAAUUUUUCAUUGACUUCCUUUGUGGUUUCUGAAAUAUCAAUGACAUUCUUUCUCUCUAUAUGGCUAUAUGAUGCAUCACUUCUCUUCCUGAUCUGAGUUUUCUGGUCAAUGCAAGUUAAGUAAAACAAUUUUUUACCCUCAUUUUGAUUAUCAACCUAAAUAGUAAAGUUAGUUAUAAGAAAGUAAAUUAUCAUUUAACAGUUGAUUUAAGGCAAGAUUCAAGACCAGGGCCUUUAGGAAUAUUUUAGAAAACAUAGUAGAGAUUGGUAAUAUUCUCAAUUUCUGAACCUCCUUGAAGUACAUAAAACGGUGAUAUCUACCAAUGUGAUGACAGUUUUAUCUGUGUUAUUUACCAAUUAUUGGUUUAUAUCUGCUGACUAUAGAUUAGAUAGAUGAUUAUAAAAGAAUGAAACUUGAAACAUUAUGAUUAAUAAAGGAUUCAAUAUGGCUCAGCUUUAUCUUUCUUUAGCCUUCAGGAUAACCAGGAAAUCUGAAUGCUUGCAUAUUCAAAUGGUUCUUUCUCCUGUAUUAAUGCUCUGGUCAAUGAAUGUUAGUUGUAAAGUUAUUUCAUUUUAUUUUAUUUAUUACUUUUUGGGUUUGGGUUUGUUUGUGCGAACAAAUGCAGUUCAGAUGAAAGAAAACAAUUGCAAGUUCUGAUAUUUGCAACCGGAGCAUUUGUAUGUGAUUAUGUUUCUGCAGAAUUUUUUUUUCCCUCUAGACCUUUUUACUGAGGUAGUAUGAGAACUAAACAUCCCUUAGAGGGAAUUUGCCAACUUCAAAGAUUAUCUCUACAUGAUUGUGCUGUUCUUCUCUUGUUACUGUUUUUACCCCUCUUUAUUUCUUAUUUUUUAAUGCUUUAAUGGUUUCAUCAAUUUUGUUGCAACUGAGCAAAAUAAACUCUUGUUUUGCAAAACAAACUCUUGUUUUGCAAAACAGACUCAUGUGUUUUCUUAUCAUUUUUCUCAGUGUGGAAUUUGAUGACUCACCUGUGAAUUUGGAUGAUGUGAAGGAAAAUCACUCCCGGAAAAGGCAUGUAACUAUUCAUUUUGUUUGUGGUAGGGAUAGUUACACUAGACCGAUGCUUUAUCCCAUUACAAUACAGCAUAUUUUCUACAUUUGUUUUCUUGGUGUAGUUUUCUUCUGACUUCCAAUUUAGUAGCUUCAAAUUUAUAUUGCACAAUUAUAUCUGUGCUAUCAAAUUAGAUCGGUGGCAAACAAUUUAUUAGUUCUUUGCUUCUCACAUCUUUAUUUGUUGUUCCAUCAAUUCAUGUCUGAUUCUGCUACAGGAUGAGGUCUGGACUGUGCAGCGCAUNNNNNNNNNNNNNNNNNNNNNNNNNNNNNNNNNNNNNNNNNNNNNNNNNNNNNNNNNNNNNNNNNNNNNNNNNNNNNNNNNNNNNNNNNNNNNNNNNNNNUUUUUGUGGAAAGUAAUUAGAAAGCCCAAGACUUUUUCCAAUUUGAGAGUGCUGUCAUUUUUUCUAAUCAAUAAUUUUUAGGUGUUUGAAGAGCAAGGAUAAGUGAUGAUCUGAGGUUUUAGGAUUGGCAAAUUGCUUAUUUCCGCCAAGCUUUAUGGAAUUGCUUUGAUUUGGAUCUUGUAAGUCUUGCGUAAAUGCUUGUGUUGCUGAAAUAACUAUUUUCAGUUGCCCUUUAUAAGAACAAUUUCAGAUUGUUGAAGCCUCCAUGAAAACUAGUUCGGUUAUUAGUUCUUGUACAUUCUCCAGAGAGAGUUUUCUUUUUGGAACUCUAUGAAAAUACAAAUGAUACACAUCCAAUCCACUGCUUAUCAGUGACUCUGGCUGUUCCAGUGUAUAUAAGCUAAAUUGUUCUGAAGUUUCACUAGUUUGGAUCACUCUUAUUUAAGUGUUGCUGGGCAUAGGCUCGGUUUGGCUCUACUCCUUGCACUUUUAUUUCACUUGGGUUCGGCAUUUAUCCUUUUGGUUCGGUUCAGAGUUACCUCAAGGAACCUUGUUUUACAUGGAUUUUGACAUCAGACGUCCCUGACUGGUUAUAUAGCUUGAAAAAGACAGGAUGCUGGUAUUUGCUGCAAGGAUUCAUGCUUGAAAUACUUUGUUUGCCUUCAGAGUAAGCAGCUUACAACCAUUUAAAAAACAAGGAACUCUUAUAGUUCCUCUAAUAUCAUUUAACACCAUCUGCAGCCCCCAAAGUGGAUGAAAGUUUUCUGCACGAUGCAAAAUGUUGUUAGUUACUGUUGGUAGUAAAUCUGGCAUGCUUUUCUGGAUCCCACCUUAAAAAAUAACGUUUUUAAUAUUCAUAUGCCUAAUAUGUUUUCUCAUGACAAAAAAGGAAUGUGUCAUAUACUUCCUUCACGUUUUUGAAUUUUUCAUUGACUUCCUUUGUGGUUUCUGAAAUAUCAAUGACAUUCUUUCUCUCUAUAUGGCUAUGAUGCAUCACUUCUCUUCCUGAUCUGAGUUUUCUGGUCAAUGCAAGUUAAGUAAAACAAUUUUUUACCCUCAUUUUGAUUAUCAACCUAAAUAGUAAAGUUAGUUAUAAGAAAGUAAAUUAUCAUUUAACAGUUGAUUUAAGGCAAGAUUCAAGACCAGGGCCUUUAGGAAUAUUUUAGAAAACAUAGUAGAGAUUGGUAAUAUUCUCAAUUUCUGAACCUCCUUGAAGUACAUAAAACGGUGAUAUCUACCAAUGUGAUGACAGUUUUAUCUGUGUUAUUUACCAAUUAUUGGUUUAUAUCUGCUGACUAUAGAUUAGAUAGAUGAUUAUAAAAGAAUGAAACUUGAAACAUUAUGAUUAAUAAAGGAUUCAAUAUGGCUCAGCUUUAUCUUUCUUUAGCCUUCAGGAUAACCAGGAAAUCUGAAUGCUUGCAUAUUCAAAUGGUUCUUUCUCCUGUAUUAAUGCUCUGGUCAAUGAAUGUUAGUUGUAAAGUUAUUUCAUUUUAUUUUAUUUAUUACUUUUUGGGUUUGGGUUUGUUUGUGCGAACAAAUGCAGUUCAGAUGAAAGAAAACAAUUGCAAGUUCUGAUAUUUGCAACUGGAGCAUUUGUAUGUGAUUAUGUUUCUGCAGAAAUUUUUUUUCCCUCUAGACCUUUUUACUGAGGUAGUAUGAGAACUAAACAUCUCUUAGAGGGAAUUUGCCAACUUCAAAGAUUAUCUCUACAUGAUUGUGCUGUUCUUCUCUUGUUACUGUUUUUACCCCUCUUUAUUUCUUAUUUUUUAAUGCUUUAAUGGUUUCAUCAAUUUUGUUGCAACUGAGCAAAAUAAACUCUUGUUUUGCAAAACAAACUCUUGUUUUGCAAAACAGACUCAUGUGUUUUCUUAUCAUUUUUCUCAGUGUGGAAUUUGAUGACUCACCUGUGAAUUUGGAUGAUGUGAAGGAAAAUCACUCCCGGAAAAGGCAUGUAACUAUUCAUUUUGUUUGUGGUAGGGAUAGUUACACUAGACCGAUGCUUUAUCCCAUUACAAUACAGCAUAUUUUCUACAUUUGUUUUCUUGGUGUAGUUUUCUUCUGACUUCCAAUUUAGUAGCUUCAAAUUUAUAUUGCACAAUUAUAUCUGUGCUAUCAAAUUAGAUAGGUGGCAAACAAUUUAUUAGUUCUUUGCUUCUCACAUCUUUAUUUGUUGUUCCAUCAAUUCAUGUCUGAUUCUGCUACAGGAUGAGGUCUGGACUGUGCAGCGCAUCUGGCUCCAAAGCAUGUCGGGAGAAAGUACGGAGGGAUAGGCUGAAUGACAGGCAUGCUCUACUAUACUCUCUCUCUCUCUCUCUCUCUCUCUCUCUCUCAUUUUAUUUUGGAUUCAUCUCUCAGUCUUUCUCAUGUUGAAUUUUGGCUUCAUCUAAAGGUUCCUAGAAUUGGGUUCUAUCCUGGAGCCUGGAAGACCCCCUAAAAUGGACAAGGCUGUUAUAUUAAGUGAUGCUCUUAGAAUGAUGACUCAGCUGCGUAGUGAAGGACAGAAGCUGAAGAAAUCAUGUGAGGAUCUGCAAGAGAAGAUCAAUGAAUUGAAGGUCUGCCUGCAAUUUUUUAUCUGAUGUUUUUUUUUUUUUUUCCGUUCUUUUCACUUUUAGAAGCUAUUUCAGAAUUCAAUUCAUUUUAGAAAUUGGUUAUCAUGCCUGGGUUCUGCAGAUAGUUUCAAGAAAAUGCAUUUCGGAGUGUCCAAUUCCUCUUUAGUUACAUUGAAGAACUUUGUUUGUGCAGGCUGAGAAGAAUGAGCUUCGUGAUGAGAAGCAGAGGCUGAAGACAGAGAAAGAGAACAUUGUGCAGCAAAUAAAAGCUCUGAGUUCCCAAGCAGGCUUCCUGCCACACCCUUCUGCAAUCCCAGCUCCAUUUGCCGCUCCAGGCCAAGUUGUUGGCAGCAAGCUGAUGCCUUUCAUUGGCUACCCUGGAGUUUCCAUGUGGCAGUUCAUGCCACCUGCUGCCGUUGAUACUUCACAGGAUCAUGUUCUCCGGCCCCCAGUUGCUUAAAUUUGAAGGCGUUAACUGUGGAUCUUCCUUCCCUGUGCGUAUGGCAUGAUUCUAUGAUCUGGGUUUUCUUCUGGCUCUUGAAGACCCCAAGACUCAAUUAGGUGACUGACUGAUAUUGUUGGGAAAUUUAGUUCGGAUAUUGUUGCUAUUACCUGUAAUUUUUCAUUAGCCAAAUCUGGCAAUAUAUGUUCCCAAUUUUGUCUAGUCGAACUGUUGAUUUUUGUAACUGUUUUAGAACAAUGUUUACGUUCAUCGGAAUACAAAAAGAUCAGAAGACAUCCUUGAGAAUGGCUGUUUGUUUGAAUUACCAAAUCUAGAAAAAUCUAGCUUGUUAUUUCCAUUAUUCCAAUAUUUCAUUAUUUCCAUCAACACAUUCGCAUUAUAAACUCGAAAUUAAAUGCCCAAGACCAGAUGUCUUGGUACUCACAAUCCUACUUAGAUAAUUGUACACAUUUGCUAACCUCAUUUACAAAAUUGCAUUUAACAGGGAAGCUUGAACCCCAUAUAUUCUCCCCUGGCAUAGUCUCUCCAAACAUCAAUAGCCCCAAAGCUGGUUAUCAGAACAGUACUCAGUGCCAUCACUGUACUGACAGAGAAUACAAUGAGGGAGGCCCUGCCAUAUUUCUCAAUGGCUCUCUGUACCACCACCACUCCAAGGAUUGAUGCAAAGAAGCAGAUAAUGGCAAAGAUGAGGGCCACCUCUUUGUGCUCCAUCCCUAUCAACAAGUACUGAAAUGAUGACAUGGUUGAUGAGAAGAAAACCAUCACAGAACAUGUGGCGGCUGUUACCUGCACCCAUGUACCAAAUGGUAGUUACCAAUCACAGUCUGCCAUGAGAGGAUGGACUGCAUUGUCUUACUGAAAAGCCAAAAAGGUUGAGCAACUUUACCUCCGGGGGUAUUCCAAUGUGAAGAAGAAGUGGGCUUAUAAGCAUUCCACCUCCAAUCCCAAAAACUCCACCCAAAAUCCCUGCUAGUAGAGCCAUUAUUGGGAAAAUAAGGUUUGGUGGUUUUUCCCCAGUUUGGCCUAGUAUCUCCUUCAUAAAAAACACCAUUUUAUUGAUGUAGCAGAGAGAUGAAAGUUCGGAUAUAUGACAAGAGGAGGGGGAUGAUUUUGAUUAUGUUUUGACAAGUACCUGCUGGUUGGAAGUUUCUCUUCUGUGUAGGAUCCAAGCAGUAAACGUUAUGGCAAGAGGAAAUUGGAGUGAUGAGAGGAUCCAAUAUCCCUCCCCACAAGGCUCCAUUGGUAUAAUGCUCUGCAGAUAUUGAAAGAGGGAACUCAUCCUCAGUGUAUUUGAAAAAAAAUUGAAAAAUGAAUGAAGAUGAAAAAGUAAGUAGUCAUACCUGCCCAUCUCUGUCACCACGAAGAAUAUAGAGAAGGAAGAAAGACAACCAAAUUACAACAAGCGCCCCAAAUUUCGUCCAUGGGAUACUGAUUUUGAAGUUCUCUACCUCACCCAUAAGAGGCUCUUUAAGGCUUUUGAUCACUUCAUUCUCACCAUUACUCUCAUCUCUCCUCACCCCAUUUUCCAAUUCUCCAAACCCAUUUCUUCUUAUCACCUCUGACUCCAAUUUCCAAGACACCACCCCUUUUCUACAUGUUUUAGAGGUGGUCCAAGAAAGGAAAACUACAAACAGUAUGGUAAUCAGCCACUCUGGGAAGACAAUGUUGCAGACUACUCCAAUACUCACACCCAGUAACAAGCAUGGCUCUGAUAAAAGUGCUAUAUCAAAAUCAAUGACACUCUUACCACCAUGAAUGCAAUUGAUGAACAUGGUGCACAAGAUAUUAGCAGUUGACCCUCCUGCAACCAUGAAUGCUGAGAAUGUUGAUGCUGUUUUGAGGUCUAGACCCCCCACUAUAGCCAAUAUGGGAACGAACAGCCCACCACCUCCAAUCCCACCAGCACUGGAUAUAGAUGCAGCUAUGAAGCACAACACUGCUGCUCUCACAAUAGGAGGUGAAAAUUUCAGUUGAAUUUCUUGGAACACCUUCUGGAGAUUGCUCCAUUGAUGGCUUGUGUUGGUAAGCUCUUCCAUUUUGGGUACGUCAGAAAUGGGUUGUGAUUGUUCUGCAUGGCUUAAGGAGAAGAGAAUGAAAAGGGGGAGAAGAACUGCCCUUCUCAUCAAGGUAUGGCCCUUCAUUUGGCAAUUCUUGGUGGUGCUGUAAAUCAAAAGCCAGUGUAUUGUAGCUUUAUAUAGGGUUAAAGGAGUUGCAUGGCAUUUCUGAGGAAGAAAACAAAAUUAAGAAAAGGAACAUAUUGGAAGAAGGAAAAAGCCUGUGUACCUUCUGGUUUGAAUAGUAUGUGGCCAAAAAGCUCAGUAAUGAUCGACAGAAGCGGUGACUUCAAGAAAAAUAAAAAAAAAAAAAAAAUCCAUUGUUUCCAGAAUUCUUCAAAUGUAGACAUUGGGAUUUGAUUUUUUAAACCAGGGAUUGCUUGUGGAGAAAUGGGUCUGGGUCUGAUGGUUUGGAAUGAGGUGUUAUUAUUUGACUAUUAUGGGACUUCAUCCAUGUUCAUUAUGAUCAUAUCUAACUACUGCAAAAUUUUUUUCUUUAUUUUCUCUUUAAUCAUUCCCUGGGUCAUUUGUUUGGCCAUUAAAUAAUUUAAAAAUAUAUAAGUAUUUGCUAAUUUUAAUUUUUAUUUAUUUAUUUAUUUGAUUUUUUUCAUAGUACAAUCAAAUAUGAGGAAAUUAUUUUCUUUAAUAAUAUUCUUUCUUUUAUGAAACAAAUAUAAUCAUAGAAUAAUCCAAGUAUAGCUAGGUUGAUAUGAGAAUGAUAAUACUGAUAAGAGAGACAUACAACACAUAAAAUUAGAGAAAUCGUCUAGAUAUACUCAAGUAUAUUAAAGAAGGGAAUGUGACCUUUUAGGUAGAUGCUUAUUUUGAUUAAUUUCUUAGUAGGCAUUUUAAUUAGGAAUCAAAUUACAUGAAAUAAUCCAAAUAAGGCUAAGUUAAUAUUAGAAUGAUAAUAUUGAUAAGAGAGACAUGCAAGGCAUAAAUUAGAAACAUUAUACCGAUAUAUACUUUCAAAUAUACUAAAAAAGAAGGGAAUGUGACGUUUAAUUAGGUAGAAACUUAUUUUGGUUAAUUUCUUGAAGAUGCAUUUUAACUAAGAGUUUUGAUAAAAUAAGAUUUCGGUAAAAAGGGAUUUAUGCAUGAUUAUCCAUAAUUAAUUUAUACACAAGAAUUUUAUUUUGGUUAAAUUCUUAAUGUUUAUUUUAAUGAGAGGGCAAAGAAAAUAUAACUUUAAUCGGACAAAUUUGUCCAAAAGUAAAACAAUGUCCUUCAAUAAAGAGGCUUUGUCUUUUGUCAUAGGUCAAUAAACACAUCCAAUUCUUCUCCUUAAAUUGUAAUUAGGGCUACUUCUCUAUCAUUCCUACUUAUUCCUUUAUUAGGGGGGGACAAUAUUACACUUUGUUUGUCUUGAAUUCAUGAUUUGUUAGUUUUUAAUUUAAUUUUGGUAUACAUCAUGUUACAUGAAAUAUAUACAAAUGUUUGAAUAUUGAUUAGAUCGAAAUAAAUGAAAAAAAAAUCAAAUUUUAAGUCCAUGACAAGUAAGACUUAAGAAAGAUCCUAAUGUAGGUAUAGAGGUAAUGGACCUAAGUUAACAUAGUAUUAAGUCUAAAAAUCAAUUGAUUGUAGCCAAGACUAGUUAGGGAAUUAAGUAAAGAAUAUUUUGAUACGUCCGUACACAUGUCAAGAGUGAGUUAAGGGAUAUAACUUACAUCAACAAUAUUAUUUAUGAUAGAGAAGACUUUUUCAUAUAGGACUAUUGGUAUGUAAAAAUGAGUAAUAAACCUAUUUUCAACUAAUAAGAUGGUAUAGUACACCUCUAACCAAGUUAGCAAUAAGCUCUUAAACUAAAAUUAAGUUAAUUCUUUUUUGAUGGAAAUAGAAAAAUCAUUGUAUAUUUUUAAUCGAGUUAUCAAGGAGGUUUCGACCAUCGGCUACAUUAAGUUUUAAGAUUUAAAUUAGAUUGAGACUGAAAUAGUAAAACAAGUAUGCCUCUAACAAAGUUAACAAAAAAGCUUAGAUCUCAUCCUUAAACUAAAUUAAAUUUAGAUGAAGAUCAUCGUUAAAGUGAAAAUUCAUGAUAUAUUAAGUUAUCAGUUUAGUUUGAGGGUUUAAACCACAAUAUAAUCAAUUAUCAAUAUAUAUCAAGUUCAUCUGGAUUAGUAAAUAUCGUUAUGAUUUUUGAGUUAUUGUUUUUGUCCGUUUAUAUAUUUUAAAAUAAAAUAAUUAAAUAAAUAGUGUAGUUAAAGUUCAUGAUCUUUUGAAAAUCAAGACUAUGAAUUCAUAUGAAACUGCUAACUUAAUCUCUAAAAGCUUAAAAUUUUGGAAAAAUUAACAACUUAAUACCAAUGUUCUAAAAUUUAGAUUAAACAUGGAGUUCAAAGAUGAACCAACUUUUUGAACCAUCCUAAAGUAUUCAAAGCAACAGGGAGAAGGCCAUCCUCUAGAAAGAGGUUUUUCUCCUGGCCACAAAAGAAAAAGGGAGCUAGAAGGGUGGGGGGCAGUGUGAACCCUUGCCGAGCAAGCAGUUUCUAUACAAUUUCCUCACUGCAUCAUCCAUGUGAACCAAUAAAAACAAGCCAAAUCGAAAGCUCCAGGAACUUUCCUCUCCAAACAAGAGGCUCAUAUUAUAUUGAGAAACAAACAUUUUUUAUGGAAAGGGUUCAGUGUACUUCGAAAAGUUUAAACCCAUUUGUGGGUGUGACAUGUUCAUGUACAAUUGGCUACAUUUCAUUUGUCUUCUUUGUCUUUUCCCAUUUCUUUAGGCAGCCUGCUGAGCCCUUGUCCUACAAAAUCCUGUUGGAGGUUGGCAAGAUUCAUUUCUAGUCUUUGCAUAGCUCCAUUUCUCAUUACUGCUUAUGUGAUCACGAUCGUGGGGGAAAAACAUACUGGAAAGGGACUAAUUGGUUCUUAUUUUUAUUUCUUAAUUUUCAAGGGUUAGAUUAUGGUAGGUUUUGACACUGACCAUGUAAGCUUUUUAACCAACAAAAACCUACCCUACAAAGAAAAUCAACAAUAAAGAAGAUAAUUUCUUGUGUUAACCCUGGUGGGAAAUGAGUCAUUUUGUGACCCCACAAGUCCUUUCAGUGCUAAUGGACGUCCAUAUAGAGAUCCCGUUAAUCUGCAUCCAGAGUAAAAGUUUAAUUUUUAAUAUAAAGAAAACCAUCACAUGGUUCCAUUUGAGGGUGAUUCGAGGGUGUGAGGAACAAAAUGAGACAUUUGGAUCUUUUCAUAGACUAGAAGUUCUUCAAUCAUUCAGACAAUUUAUUGACAAAGCAUAGCUCUUAUUUCAAGGGUCUCCUUACUCAAA
rnacentral:lncRNA from 1 species